GAUGAACGCUGGCGGCGUGCCUAAUACAUGCAAGUCGAGCGAAGCGGGGACGGGUGAGUAACACGUGGGUAACCUCCUAUAAGACUGGGAUAACUUCGGGAAACCGGAGCUAAACCGGAUACGUAUGGAUGAAUGCGCGCUGCAUUAGCUGGUUGGUUAGGUAACGGCUUACCAAGGCAACGAUGCAUAGCCGACCUGAGAGGGUGAUCGGCCACACUGGAACGGAGACACGGUCCAGACGCCUACGCGAGGCAGCAGUAGGGAAUCUGCCGCAAUGGGCGAAAGCCUGACGGAGCAACGCCGCGUGAGUGAUGAAGGUCUGCGGAUCGUAAAACUCUGUUAUUAGGUAAGCGGUACCUAAUCAGAAAGCCACGGCUAACUACGUGCCAGCAGCCGCGGUAAUAC
rnacentral:rRNA from 1 species